rnacentral:misc_RNA from 1 species
AACGCAACUUGCGCUCCUUGGUAUUCCGAGGAGCAUGCCUGUUUGAGUGUCAUUAAAUUCUCAACCUUACUAGCUUUUGCAAACUAAGGCUUGGAUGUGGGGGUUAUUUUGCUGGCUUCAUUAACGAGGUCGGCUCCCCUGAAAUGCAUUAGCGGUGCCCUUGUGGACCCGACUAUCAGUGUGAUAAUUAUCUAUGCUGUUAGACGACCAUGAUGCUGCUUCUAACCGUCCAUCAUUCGGACAAUACAAUGACAAUCUUGACCUCAAAUCAGGUAGGACUACCCGCUGAACUUAA